rnacentral:ncRNA from 1 species
UUUGCAUAUGUGCGAGUCAUUGGGAAUUAUGAAACUCAAAGGCGUGGUAAAGGUAAAGUUUCCCUUUGUACGAUUUAUUGAUGAGAUCCCGUCUUUUCGUUCGUAAAUUCCAAGAUGUGAGCAGCAGGUGUAUGCGUGGCCUAUUCCGUGAGAUGAGCAUGUGACCUUUUGUGUGUGUCAUCGCGGUGGAGCAAAAGGCGUACAUGUUGACACCUGUAAGAUAGCGAACUGUGCUUGGGAAGGUGGAGAAUUAGUGAUUCUGACGUGCGGUUCGAUCGUAUAACAUGAAUUUAGGAGUAUAAGACUAGUCGAAUUAUCUAAUAGCUGG